ACCGAUCAUCCAAUCCAAUCCAAUCUAAUAUUAAUUGGAUCGGAUCAAAUUGGAUUUAAACCUCUAAUGUGAUCGAAUUGGAUCGGAAAAAUCAUAAUCCAAUCUAUAUUGAAUCGGAUGUAGAUUGACAAAAUUGUAUAUGUUUUAAACCGGUGUACAAGUGUCUUUGUAAAAAAAUUUGUACUUGUGAAAAAAAACUAUCUCCUGCCCCUUCUAUCCAUUGUAAGGAAACUAGAAAAACAAAGUUGAUUUCCCAUCAAAGAAAAACUUGCUUAAAUGUCAAAAUGGUCCUUGUGUUUUAUUGUGUUGGCCAAUUUGGUCUCUGCAUGUUUAAUUUGAUAAAUUUAAUCCCUAUGCUUAGACAUAUUAGCCAAUAUGAUCCAUUCCGUUAAACUUGUCAUUAAAAGAAUUUAGAAGCUACUAAAUAUUUAUUACAAAACUAUAACUACUUGAAUUCAAUUUAAAAAUAAAUAAAUAAAUAAGAACUAUAGAAAUAAAAAUGAGAUCUAAAAACUAGAAAAACUAAAAACAAAAUACACCACCAUCAACGCUUCCCCUGCCUGCCUAUCCCAUCCCACCACAAUUCUCUCCUUUCUUCUCUCUUUCUUUCAACAACAACCUACUACCACCCUGUCCACCUCCACCCCCAACCACUUUCCCCACCCAGACCUCAAGGCCAAUUCCUAAAGCCACACACACCACAACAACCCCAAUCCACCCGACCUCUAACCUCUCUCUCUCCCUCAAGAACAACCCCAACCCACACCUCAAGUACUUAUACAUCUUUCCCAACUUGACAAUUCCUCGGCCAUUUGCCCUGCCAUCUCUCCUCAUCGGUCAUCGCCACACACCUUCCCCAUCCCCCCAUCCCUCCCCUUCAGCCGUGUUCCUCCGCUCAUCACCCUCCCCCUGCCCACAGUGGUCACCCAAUUCCCAUUUUUCUACUAUCUGAGCAGCCCCUCCCCUUCCUAUUACCUUUUUUUGUUUGUUUUUCUAAUGUUAUAUUUUAAUGAAGUUUUAAUAUUUUUAAGUUAAUUUAAUUUCUUUUAUUAAUUUCAAAAAGAUUUAUAGGUUUUCAAAAGAUAAAAAAUAGUUUAUAAUGCUUAUUUAACUGCAAAUUUAACAUAUUGAACCACAUUGACUAUCUAUCCUAAACACAG
rnacentral:lncRNA from 1 species